rnacentral:tRNA from 1 species
CCGAAAAUGUAGGUUUAAAUCCCUCCUAUACUA